UACGUAGGGUGCGAGCGUUAAUCGGAAUUACUGGGCGUAAAGCGUGCGCAGGCGGUGAUGUAAGACAGGUGUGAAAUCCCCGGGCUUAACCUGGGAACUGCAUUUGUGACUGCAUCGCUGGAGUGCGGCAGAGGGGGAUGGAAUUCCGCGUGUAGCAGUGAAAUGCGUAGAUAUGCGGAGGAACACCGGUGGCGAAGGCGGGUCUCUGGGCCGAUACUGACGCUGAUGCACGAAAGCGUGGGGAUCAAACAGG
rnacentral:rRNA from 1 species